GUGUGCCUGGCACUAUGGUAUCUCUUCACUGGGAGACUCAAAAUACCCUUCUCACGCAGGUAUCACAUGCAUGAAGUGUCUGGGUAUACCCAUCGUGUAACACCACAGAAACACCUGGAGCAAUAACACCAGCUGGACAAAUACAAGAGCUUUACUAAAAUGUCAUUGUGGAAAGCCAGCCCACACAGAGAUAAAUACUGAGAUCAAGCCUCUCAGAGGAAAGAAUGUCAAGUUAGGAGAUGAAAGGAAAGGAAACUGGAAAGGAGGCAUAACCACUUAUACUUUCGGCUAUAAAAUUCAAAAUCAAGGUGAUGAAGAAAGUGUAAAGGAAGACCAUGAAGCAGAGCUGUGGACAGAGGCAAAGGAAAUAAGAGACCUUUAAUUUCCAGGCCUUCCUAGCAUUAGGAAGUAUCAUAUGAAACGGAUCAUAACAAGGCUCAGGCAGAAAGUUCAUUUUGGUCUGAGAUAGCAAACUAAGCGAAGAAAGAACAGAGACAGUCCCAGGAUUAUGAACAUUUUUCAUGAACCACUCAGGAGCAAUCUCUGAACAGGCACAAUGAAAGGAAGUACAAAACCAGAACCAGGUUAUCUGUAAUUUCCCCUGCUGGCAGCCAUUCUGAGGGGUUUACAGCGGACAGCAAUAAACUGUGCCACAUUCGUA